CUUCACCGAGCCGAGCAGAAGGGGCCGUUCGGGAUCGCGGCCCCGGCCGUAGGUGGCGAGCAGCGCCUGCGCCUC
rnacentral:antisense_RNA from 1 species